UAUUUUACUUCCAACAGCGUUAUCUCUCCUUCACACUUUCUAUGACAAAAUUCCACAGAACACGAAGACCUUAGUUAACAGUGACCUUCGAGUUCUCAUCAUAACCAUGUCUGGUCUUCCUCUUGAGAUGAUAGCAGAAAUCCUCUGCAGAUUACCAGCAAAGGAACUUCUUUGUUGCAGGUCUGUAUCUAAACCAUGGUGUGCUUUAAUUGAUGGUCCAAACUUCGUUAAAUUACAUUUGAAGCACUCUAUGGACACAAGUUCCAAUCUUUACAUCAUCCUUAGAACUACUUCACAUGUUCACUACAUGGAUUUUGAGCAAAAUUUAGUCUUAAAUGACUGUGUUACUCUGAAAGAGUUGAAUCAUCCUUUGAUGUGUUAUAAUCAUGGGAUUAAAGUUUUAGGUUCUGUUAAUGGGUUGCUUUGCAUUUCUAAUGUUGUUGAUGAUAUUGCUGUGUGGAACCCAUCAACUAGAAAGCAUCGUGUGGUGCCCUUUUUGCCUAUUGAGCUGAAAAGGUAUUUUGGGACCAAGUCUUGUAGUGUUUAUGUGUUUGGAUUUGGGUAUGAUAGUGUUAGGGAUGAUUAUAAGCUUGUUAGGAUUGCGCAAUUUGGAGGUGGGGGGAAGAGGAGUUUUGAGUCUGAGGUUAAGGUAUAUAGUUUGAGGAAACAAUCGUGGAGGAGGAUUGGUGAUAUGCCUUAUUGUGUUCACUAUCCUGGUGCAAAUGGGGUUUUCGCUAAUGGUGCUUUGCAUUGGGUUGUGGGUGAGAAUCCUGAAUCGAAUGUGGCAAAUAUAGUUGUUGCAUUGGAUUUAGGAGUGGAGGAUUAUAGGGAGGUGCUGCAACCUGAGUAUAAGGAUAAGAAUUUUUAUAUUGAUUUGGGGGUUUUGAGAGGAUGCCUGUGUUUUCUUGCAAAUUUUCUAGGCGAACGUGUUGAUGUGUGGAUGAUGAAAGAGUACGGGGUAAAGGAGUCCUGGACUAAACUGUUUUCAGUUGCACAGUAUGAGGUCAUUGGGUUUCUUAGAUCUCUUAAGCCUUUAGCUUAUUCAAAGAGUGGUGAUGAAGUUCUCAUUGAACACGACAAUUUGGACCUUUGCUGGUAUGAUCUGAAGAGGAAACAAGUAAAGAAUAGGAUUCCUGGUAUACCAUAUUCCUUUGAAGCAGAUACUUUUGUUGAAAGCCUUAUUUCUGUCAAUCCGAAUAGGCAUCUAGAUGGAAGGACACAGGAUGAAGAUGAGGACUCGAAGGACAGGAAUAAGAGAGAUGAUUUCUUGUCUGAGGGGUUCAAAUUGGUCUUAUAAUUCACCAGAAGAAACAGCAGAGAAAACAUGGAAAAGAGGGCUGAUACUGGCGGAUGGAGAUUUAAUUGAGCAUAUGAGAAAUUUUGCAGAUGAAGGAAAGAAUGGAUAAAAACUAUGCUCAUUAUAUAUGUCAUGCACUCACAUGCGUCUUUCUUAAUGAAAAGGUACUUGGUCAGGGAAAGAUGGGCUGAUAUAUUUGGAUGAACGUGCUUGGGUUGCAAAAACUCAAUUUGGUUGAGAGUUAUGAGCCAUAUCUAUGUACAUUUAGCCAAUGCUUGCUCUUAGUGUUAAACCUAUUAGUGCCAAUUUUUUUUAAAAUAAAAAUAAAAAUCAGGCUUCAUAAAUGUAUGAUAAAGCUACCAUGCUAGAAAGGAUUGUGAUGACGGAGAUUUACUGUAUAUAUCAGAUCUCGUGAGUUGAUUGCCUGAAAGUAACGUAAUUUCUUGAUCAAGCCUCAAGAUGUUGAAGACUUCUCUAUCUAGUCAGUAUGGUCGGUCAUAUGUUUUUGUAAGUUUGCUCAACUUUGUGAAGUUGGAUGGCUUUAUUGUAUUGUAUGGAUGAAAUCUCUGAGUUGUAAAACAUAAUCUACGAUUAAACUUCAACUAAUGAGGAUUGAUGUUGGAGAAUUU